rnacentral:rRNA from 1 species
UAACGCGUGGGCAACCUGCCCUAUACAGGGGGAUAACAACCAGAAAUGGUUGCUAAUACCGCAUAAGCGCACAGGACCGCAUGGUCCGGUGUGAAAAACUCCGGUGGUAUAGGAUGGACCCGCGUUGGAUUAGCCAGUUGGCAGGGUAACGGCCUACCAAAGCGACGAUCCAUAGCCGGCCUGAGAGGGUGAACGGCCACAUUGGGACUGAGACACGGCCCAGACUCCUACGGGAGGCAGCAGUGGGGAAUAUUGCACAAUGGGGGAAACCCUGAUGCAGCGACGCCGCGUGAAGGAAGAAGUAUCUCGGUAUGUAAACUUCUAUCAGCAGGGAAGAUAGUGACGGUACCUGACUAAGAAGCCCCGGCUAACUACGUGCCAGCAGCCGCGGUAAUACGUAGGGGGCAAGCGUUAUCCGGAUUUACUGGGUGUAAAGGGAGCGUAGACGGAUUAGCAAGUCUGAUGUGAAAGGCAGGGGCUCAACCCCUGGACUGCAUUGGAAACUGCCAGUCUUGAGUGCCGGAGAGGUAAGCGGAAUUCCUAGUGUAGCGGUGAAAUGCGUAGAUAUUAGAAGGAACACCAGUGG